CUGCUGGAUAAUGGCUGAACGCCUCUAAGUCAGAAUCCAUGCCAGAACGCGGCGAUACCGCCCGCACGUACAGAUGGACAAGAAUAGGCUCCGGCUUAGCGUCUUAGCAGGCGAUCUGUCCGCGGCGCAGGAAGCGCGCCGCGGUGUUUCGCGUAUUGUAAUUUCAACACGAGCGGGGUCAAAUCCUUUGCAGACGACUUAGCUGUGCGAAACGGUCCUGUGAGCAGUAGAGUAGCCUUGUUGUUACGAUCUGCUGAGGGUCAGCCGUCACUUCGCCUCGAUUUCCCCGACGAUGCCGCUGGGUCUCUCGCUGCGGCGAGGCCCCAGCGUGUCGUGGGGGGGGACUGUGCAGGGGGGGGAGAGGGAGAGGGAGAGCUCGCCCGCCUAGACGGGCGGCGACGACGACGACGAGUACGAGGACGACGAGAUUGCCUCUGCGUCUGCGAGGGCCGAGACGGUGCAGGGUAAGCCGGCUGACUUGGCUUUGACUUUGCUUCCGUCUCUGUUUUCUUCUCAUUCCCCCCUCUGCAAAGGUGAGCGGAUCGGGGCUCGUGGGUGUUUGGUUUGUAUGGGCGGGAGCGCACCUUUUGUUUUUCGCCAUACAAAUCGACGCUUUCGGGACGAGAAAAGUAGGCCGGGUGGGUGUUGGUGGCGGGGCCGCGACGUCGACGAGGUCGGAGGGCCUGCGAGCGGGGGACCUCGCUGGCAGGCAGGCAGGGGCGGGUCAGCGGUCGCCGCGGGGGGGAGGGGGUCUGGGCGCUGGUUCCAGGUAGGUAAAACAAGAAAGGCUGUUAGGAGGCGCGGUGAAGGUAAUGGAUUUAUAGGGGGAAGGGGGCGAAGUUGGCGGUAAGAGGCCCUUACGGGGAGGGAGCUGCCGACCUAGCGGCUGGGGCAGACGCUGUCGGGAGGGGUUGGCGCGCUGCAGGUCACGUGACAUCGGGUAAGUCACGUGGGAUCACAGAAGGAAGACAUAGGGUAGCUCCGAUGUUCUGCUAUGUAGAGGUCACGUGACAUUGGGUAAGUCACGUGGGAUCACAGAAGGAAGACAUAGGGUAGCUCCGAUGUUCUGCUAUGUAGAGGUCACGUGACAUUGGGUAAGUCACGUGGGAUCACAGAAGGAAGACAUAGGGUAGCUCCGAUGUUCUGCUAUGUAGAGGUCACGUGACAUUGGGUAAGUCACGUGGGAUCACAGAAGGAAGACAUAGGGUAGCUCCGAUGUUCUGCUAUGUAGAGGUCACGUGACAUUGGGUAAGUCACGUGGGAUCACAGAAGGAAGACAUAGGGUAGCUCCGAUGUUCUGCUAUGUAGAGGUCACGUGACAUUGGGUAAGUCACGUGGGUAUCUAGAGGUCACGUGACAUUGGGCAAGUCACGUGGGAUUACAGAAGGAAGACAUAGGGUAGCUCUGAUGUUCUCUUAUCUAGAGGUCACGUGAGAAUAAAGGUAUAGGGUAGGCUCUCUGUCCUCUAUUGAUAAGGUAUUAUAGAAGUUGAAUAACCCAAUGUCUUCCGUACUAAAACCGACUUAGAUACGAAAUGGUGGGGGGCGGGGUGGUAUAGGGUAGGUCAGUCGGUGUAGGGUAGGCUUGGGUUGGCUGCGGCGUUAUCCCUCUCCUCGCUGCGCUGGUGGUGCCUGGUGCAUCAGUGCAUUAGUGCAUGCUUGCAGCGCUCGCAGGGUGUGCCGUCGGGCGCUGGUGGUGCCUAGUGCAAUUGGUGCAUGCUUGCAGCGCUCGCAGGGUGUGCCGUCGGGCGCUGGUGUGGUGCGGGGCGGCGCGCGAGGAACUUUCCCCAAAAUCUGCGCUCGUGGGUUUUUCGUUUGUAUGGGCGGGAGCAGACCUUUUUUUUUUGCCAUACAAAUUGAGCGUUUUCGAGAAAAAAAAAAAACGCGCGUUGUAUGGUGGGGGCGGGGCCGGAGCGUCGAUGGGGUCGGUGGGUAUGUGAGGGAGGGGCGAUCAGCCCGGACAGCCCUCGGGGUCAGAGGCGAGCAAGCCCUGUGCUGCAGGGCGUGUGAGCGCUGGCUUGUGGGCGAGUACCGCUCCCGACGUACCAUAUCUUGCACGGCGCCUAUAGGUGACUUCUCAAAAGAUCUUGCAGGCUUCCGUCUCGGUUGAGACAGAGUCAUAAUGGGCGCCAAACGUCCCCGAAACUGGUCGCUACGGCUUCACAGCGUACGGGAUAUGCCUGGCUGCAGCAGGGGGCCUCGUGCCCCGUUCCUGCGUGCCGGAUGGGUUCUGUGGGCGAUUGGCCGCUGGGCGGGUUCGCCGUAGACACAGAGCAGCAGGGGCCAACCACGGGCAGCUGACGCCGGAAUGGCUGACGAUGCCCGCUGAGUCCUCCUCCUAGGGCGCCCAGGCCGCACGAACGUGCGCGCCGACGGCGGCCCUGGGGAACGUUAGAGGGGGAAAGCGGAAUGCCUCGGGCGGUCCUGCUGGCCUUUGCAAGCCGGCGCUAAAGGGCCACCCGCCAGGCGCCGCCCGUCCUCGUGGCGGGCGACCACCAGAAAACUAACUCUCUCCAGCGCCGGCCCCCGCGGCGCUGGCAGGCCACCCCCGGCGAACGAUAGUUACCUGGUUGAUUCUGCCAGUAGUCAUAUGCUUGUCUCAAAGAUUAAGCCAUGCAUGUCUAAGUAUAAGCAAUUAUACGGCGAAACUGCGAAUGGCUCAUUAUAUAAGUUAUCGUUUAUUUGAUAGUAUCUUGCUACUUGGAUAACCGUG
rnacentral:misc_RNA from 1 species